CCCUCACGGGGCGCCGCAGCCCCGCCUCUCCGGAGGUGUGGGGCGCCCGCCGGAGGUACGAAACUCUGUAUUAUAGUGGCAUCUCUGAGUAAAAAACAAAUAAGUUAAAACUUUCAACAACGGAUCUCUUGGUUCUGGCAUCGAUGAAGAACGCAGCGAAAUGCGAUAAGUAAUGUGAAUUGCAGAAUUCAGUGAAUCAUCGAAUCUUUGAACGCACAUUGCGCCCGCUAGUACUCUAGCGGGCAUGCCUGUUCGAGCGUCAUUUCAACCCUCAAGCCCUGCUUGGUGUUGGGGCCCUACGGCUGCCGUAGGCCCUGAAAGGAAGUGGCGGGCUCGCUACAACUCCGAGCGUAGUAAUUCAUUAUCUCGCUAGGGAUGUUGCGGCGUGCUCCUGCCGUUAAAGACCAUCUUUAACUCAAGGUUGACCUCGGAUCAGGUAGGAAUACCCGCUGAACUUAAGCAUAUCAAA
rnacentral:rRNA from 1 species